rnacentral:lncRNA from 1 species
CAUUCUUCUUACAUGCCCAGCAUGAAUUCUUGCAGCUCUUGUGAUAUACUCUUCUUCAGGAUAGAAAGGAGUGAUGUCCAGAAGAGGUACAUAAUUCAGCUCUUUGUCCUUAGCUGCUUCAUGCAUAUCAUCCAAAAGCUUCUUCAGCAUUGCAGAGUGAGAUGACACACAUUUGGUUCUGAGUUGGUCCAGCAACUCAUCAAAGCUCUUCUGAAGAUCUAUCCACUAAUCAUAAUAGUGAAUAGGAGGUGCAGGAACUGUUCUGCGAAGAAUCAGUGCCUGAAUCUCAUCACUAAGUCUAAUCAGCUGUUCCUCUAUAUACUCAGACUCUAGGAUAUGGUCAGGGAUGGGUGAAGGUUCAGUUUGAGUUGUAUUUGAUGUGGUUGGUUGGUCAGAGGUUAAGUCUAUUAUAGUGGGUGAGUCUGGUUGUUGUUGUUCUGUUGUUUGAUGGUCAGGAGUUGUUUGGUCAGGAGCAACUUGUUCAGAAGCAGUUUGCUCCUGAACAGUUUGCUCAGGGAUGGUUUGGGUUUCCAAAACAGUCUUUUCAGGAACUGUCUUAGAGGCCUUAGUGGGUGUUGGUUGCAUUUCACCACCUAGAUGUUUUUCUAAGUUGUGAAGGGUUGAGGAUUCUUGGUGUUGGGGGGUUUCUGAAGUAGUUGCAUCUGAAGCUACUUCAGAGGCUUUUUGUGUGGUUGAGUUAUGUGGUGAGUUUGUUGUAGGUUCUGGGUUGGGUUGAGGUUGUUGUACACUAACAGGUUCAGGAUUAUCUGGAAAGAGUGGAUGAGUAGGAGGCAAAUUGAAUUUCUCACAAAGUUUAAUUCUAUUCUUAGAAAAUUCUAUUUGAGUUUGCU